GACGAACGCUGGCGGCGUGCUUAACACAUGCAAGUCGAACGGAAAGGCCCUGCUUUUGUGGGGUGCUCGAGUGGCGAACGGGGGAGUAACACGUGAGUAACCUGCCCUUGACUUUGGGAUAACUUCAGGAAACUGGGGCUAAUACCGGAUAGGAGCUCCUGCUGCAUGGGGGGGGUUGGAAAGUUUCGGCGGUUGGGGAUGGACUCGCGGCUUAUCAGCUUGUUGGUGGGGUAGUGGCUUACCAAGGCUUUGACGGGUAGCCGGCCUGAGAGGGUGACCGGCCACAUUGGGACUGAGAUACGGCCCAGACUCCUACGGGAGGCAGCAGUGGGGAAUAUUGCACAAUGGGCGGAAGCCUGAUGCAGCAACUCCGCGUGCGGGAUGACGGCCUUCGGGUUGUAAACCGCUUUCGCCUGUGACGAAGCGUGAGUGACGGUAAUGGGUAAAGAAGCACCGGCUAACUACGUG
rnacentral:rRNA from 1 species